rnacentral:lncRNA from 1 species
AUGGGAGCUGAUGUUCUGUGCUGUUGGUCUCUUGCAGAGCUGGAUCUGGCUUCACCCUACGGGCAGACCCUGGAGCCAGCACAGGACCUGCUUAGCCUCAGUGGCCAUGGACCCUUACCUGGGUCAGUAGCCACAAUAUUUUACCCUGCCUGGAAGCAUCUGCUGAAGUUCCAUCACAAGAAGUAUUUCUCUGACUCUCGCGGCCUGCAGAUCACUGGUGCUUACAGAAGAGGCAAAGAUGAAUCUGCCAACAGGUUUGCCCCUUGCCAAGUGGUGGAUUUUAUUAUGAACAAUGAUAAGAGAAAGAGGGGAAGAAGAGGAAGAGAAGGAAGAAGGAAGGGGAGAAGAGAAGUAAUCACUACCCCUCUGCCUGUUGAACUUGGUGAUGGUCUCCAUUCUACUCUGUGCUCAUCUCCACAACAUUCUAAAAGCUCACUCCAGGCCUUUGGGAAAGGGCUGCCCCUGGUCCAGCACUGACACCCCGGCAUUGAAGAGAGGUCCCCUCACCGCUGGAGGCUCUGUGAAUGGGUGAGUGAUGGAUGGAAUGAUUCCAUCUCUUCAGUAACACCCC